UACGUAGGGUGCAAGCGUUAAUCGGAAUUACUGGGCGUAAAGCGUGCGCAGGCGGCUUUGCAAGACAGAUGUGAAAUCCCCGGGCUUAACCUGGGAAUUGCAUUUGUGACUGCCCGGCUAGAGUGUGUCAGAGGGGGGUAGAAUUCCACGUGUAGCAGUGAAAUGCGUAGAUAUGUGGAGGAAUACCGAUGGCGAAGGCAGCCCCCUGGGAUAACACUGACGCUCAUGCACGAAAGCGUGGGGAGCAAACAGG
rnacentral:rRNA from 1 species